UUGACACAGGGAGGUAGUGACAAGAAAUAACAAUACGGGGCUUAAUGUCUUGUAAUUGGAAUGAUGGGAAUUUAAACCUCUUCCAGAGUAUCAAUUGGAGGGCAAGUCUGGUGCCAGCAGCCGCGGUAAUUCCAGCUCCAAUAGCGUAUAUUAAAAUUGUUGCAGUUAAAAAGCUCGUAGUUGAAUUUCUGCUGCAUUGCUUUUGCUCCUUUACGAGUCUUUGCAUUGUGGCUUAUUUCGGACUUUGUUUUACAAUGUCCGGAUGUUUACUUUGAGAAAAUUAGAGUGCUCAAAGCAGGCUUUCGCCUUGAAUAGUUUAGCAUGGAAUAAUAAAGUAGGACUUUGGUUCUAUUUUGUUGGUUUUAGGUACCAAAGUAAUGGUUAAUAGGAACAGUUGGGGGCAUUCGUAUUUAACUGUCAGAGGUGAAAUUCUUAGA
rnacentral:rRNA from 1 species